rnacentral:lncRNA from 1 species
UGUAUGGGAUAUUGUGAUUAAGAUUCUUGGUGUGUGUGGGGUUAAAAAUGGCAGGAGAAGGUGUUUUUGGGAUACUUGACGGGGGUGAGCCUUACACAACCCAAUCUUCGGAUUGGGGGCUUGGGGUCCAUUCUCAGACGUUCCCUGUUUGGUAUUUGUUGUGAGUACACAGCUGAGGAGCAUAGGAGUUGGUGAUGAUACCUAUUAUGGGUGUCAUUGCGGACCACGUUGUGGAUACGCUUUUGGGAGUUAGGAGCUCGCCCUGUUCUGAAACCGAGUGGGUCGCCGUGCUUCACGGGAAUAUGUUAAAUGUGCAUGCCACUCAUCGAAUUAUGGGUCUACGCCCGGGUCGAGACUGGCAAGUGCGGUACCAUACCUGCCGUAGGAUAGAGUAUCAGUGUAGGAGGGAGUGGUGCUGACCUUU